rnacentral:tRNA from 1 species
AGGAUUAUAUUUAAUUAUAAUAUUUAAUUUGCAAUUAAAAGGUGUUUAAAAACUAAUCUUU